UGACUUCGUUGGUCUGAAAAUGCUUGCACAGUAUUGUGUCCAGAAUUGGUUCCUUCCGGUGGGUUCUUGGUCUCACUGACUUCAAGAAUGAAGCCACGGACCCCCGCGUCACAAGCACCUCUUCGGCAAAGCCCACCUCCCUCUCUCGCUUGAUUCCCCGGCCAUCCUUAUCAAAGACCUUCCAGGUUCAAGUGAUUCUCCUGCCUCAGUCUCCCGAGUAGCUGGGACUACAGUGAUUUCCUGAAGGAAAUAUAAUGAUCUGUUCAUCGAAGUAGAAGAUAUUGUUGGCCACGUGGGAUCGAAGACCAAAAACAUGCAGCGUCUGAGCUACCACGGCUGACAUGAUCUCCCGCCAAAGAGUUCUGCUGAAGACCAAGACCACGCAUGUAUCCAGAGGCGCUACCUGUAGGGAUCCUAAGCAACCCGGGCACUUUCAAACGCCGUAGCGGUUCCUAUAGCAACGACAAACCGGAAGUAUGGUUUGCCGCCGGAAGCGGAAGUCCCAAUCAAAAGUUGAGCAGUAGCUGUGUGGGACGUGCGUGCGGCGAGAUGGACACUCCCCCGCUCUCGGAUUCGGAGUCGGAAUCCGAUGAAUCCCUUGUCACAGACAGAGAGUUGCAGGAUGCGUUUUCCCGAGGGCUUCUGAAGCCAGGCCUCAAUGUCGUGCUAGAGGGGCCGAAGAAGGCCGUGAACGACGUGAAUGGCCUGAAGCAAUGUUUGGCAGAAUUCAAGCGGGAUCUG
rnacentral:sRNA from 1 species